rnacentral:lncRNA from 10 species
AAACAUGUGAGAAAUGGCACUGAACUUUAAUUCCAGUGAUUUUCUUGCAAGUUAUUCAAACUCUUAAAGUCUGUUUCCUAAGGAAAUGUGUACUUACUUCAUGGAGUGACCCCCUAAAGAGAUGAUAUAAAGAAAACAGCUAUGUAGGAUUCAGAAUACAAUAUAGCUAUACAAUGUUAUUAUAGGACUCAUAAAUUCUCCUAAAGAGGACUAAGAGAAGAACAUAAAUGAUACUAGAAUUGAUAACCACUACCACUUAUUUUUAGCUAACCAUCACCCAAGGCCUUGCAGUAGUGGCUCUUGCAAAGCCUCUGUAGGGUUUUAGUAGCUGUAUUCAGGCUAUUGAGUCUGACAGAUCUGGCAUGGACUUGCAGCUUCACUAAUUUAAGAGCUCUCUGAACUUGCAUGAGUUAGUUAAUAUCUUCAUGCUCCAAAUUCCCCACCUACAAGUGAUAAGAAUAUUUCCCUUUUGAAAUGUUUGCACAUAUGGAGUGACAAUGUUCAUAUAGCAGAGUGAUUUUAAAUUGUAGGUAGUGGAUUCAGGUUAUCUGGGUUCACAUUCUGACUCUUAACAGUGGGGUAAACAUGAACAAGUUAGCCAACUUCUCAUGGCCUCAGUUUAGGGUGGUUUUUGAGGUGAUUGAGUUAAUGAAUAAAUAAUAUUUACCAUUUCCUUAAACAUGGGACGUGAAUAAAUUUUAGUCUCUAUUGUUAUUAUAAACUAUUAAAUGGAAGCUAUUUUAACACUUCUACUAAGCCACUCAGAAGCGGCAAUUGUACUUGAAAAAGAUGAAUACUCUUUGUCUUUUGUUUUAUUUUGUUUUCAAUGAGAUGCUUUGUCAUAUUUAGAAAAUUAUGCUAAUGAGGGAAGUGGCUUAUUUUCAUGGAAGUUUCCAGAAGGUAAAGCUCUUUCAGUGCUGGGCCAUGGUAAAGUUCAGCCAGGGGACCUUAAAGAAGGGACUGGUACUGGACUGAGAGAUCUCAUUUCUUCUUAUUGGAUUAACCCCAUGCCCGUCAAAUGUAAAUUCUAGUGAUUAGCCAUCCAUGCUGCUUUGUUAAUAACAGUCCUAUUCAGCUCGUAUUGAGUUUGGGGGCUGAUGGAGUUUCCUUUUCAAAUCAACUCUUUUGGAAAUCCUUCCUAAUGGAACUUUGUUCAUAUGGCCAGAGAACAAUGCGACCAAAUAAGCUACCAGCUGGAGUAAAAGAGAUGGCAAAGCUAAAAGGCAUAUCUCAUUCUGGGGAAAAUUAACCUCCCAAUUUUGCCCAGUAAUUGAUUCCAUCUGACUGAGGCGUUUCAGCCUCCACUGUGACUGUCAUUUGGGUAGCUGGGAAGCGAAAGCCUGUAAUUACAGUCAUGCAACCCUGUUAUCAGAGCCUGGGGAGGGCUUUCCUCUCUUCCUACCCUGGGUGAUCACAGGUGAGGCUGACCAGAGAGGGAGGAAGGAGAGAGGGGCAAGCAGGCUGGUGGUUCUUUCUCCAUGGGAGAGAGACCCCUAAGGCAACCCCAACCAUGGAGAAAAGGUCAGAGGUCGCAGGGAGUCCUCUUGAGUUUUCAUGAUAUGAACAUGAAGAGGCCAGAGCUUCCUGCUUGCUGCAAAUUCUUCUCUCCAGGGAGAUGCUUUGCCUAGAUAGAGCUAAUAAAGAGCAGGGAGUGUGAUUAACAGAGAAUUAGAAGAAUUCUUCUAAUACCAUCUAUAAUAGGUCGUUACAAGCUGUGUAAAUAAUUUUGUUAUGCUCGGAUAGGACCUGUGAACCAACUGCAAGAACACUGAAUUUUACAGGACACUUUAUGUAUUUAUUGCUGUUUUUUUAUUUGUAUAAAUUUAAGGAGUACAAGUGCAAUUUCCUCACAGAGACAUAUUUCAUAGUGGUGAAGUCUGGGCUUUAAGUGUGUCCAUCACCUGAAUAAUGUCCAUUGUACUCAUUAAGUAAUGAGAUAAAAUAAAAAUUGGACUUGUUCUCACCUCCUACAUGUUUGUAAGCAGAUGUUGUUGAAACUUAUAAGGAUUGUUCUGUUAUCACGAUAAGACUAAGUGCAACAUUCCUGCUGCUUGUCAGCAUAGGUAUACAUGCUUGUCUUGUUAAAGGUUGAACUGAGACUAGCAAAAGCGAGAUUACCUUUGCUGUGGCUUGAAUGUGUCCCCCAAAAACUAAGUGCUGGAAAUUUCAUUGCCAUUUUAACAGUAUUGAGAGGCGGGACAUUUACAAGGUGAUUAGGCUAUGAAUACUCCGCCCUCAUAUAUGGAUUAAUGCAGUUAUUGAGAGAGUGGGUUCCUUAUAAAAAGAUUGCCAUUUAUCUUAUAUUUGGGAAGAG